rnacentral:misc_RNA from 1 species
GCCUCUUGUAACCAUCCUUUUGUACAAAUAAAAGGGUUCUUUUGAUGGGGUUUUAGCAUAGAAACAACCCCUUAUAAUGGUAUUGUAAGCAAAAAUGCCUGGGUUUGGAAUUUGAGAGAAAACUUUGCGUGCGUAGGCGAAGUUUCCAAAGGAAGAUAGAGCGGAGAAGGAGAGGACUUUGGAGAGCAAGAAGGAAACAGUGGAGAAAGGAAGGAGAUGUGUAAGGAUACGCGUAUGGAUUUGGCUGAGAAUGAACAUGCUGGGGCAUUUUCGGAUGAGAAAAACGAUUCGCUUUUCUUCUUCUUCCAGCUCUUCUUCUCGUUCUUCUUCUUCUUCUGCUUCUUCAGGGAUCAAUAGGGGUUUUGCGUAAAAGUGGAGUUCAGCCCCCCAAUUUGGUCCCUUGUGCUUUCUGGCGAGCGUUUAAUAGUGUGUGAUGAGGUGGCCUUACGGAAAGUCUUAGGCUGUUUUAAAGGUAACACCCGACUGAAGGUUAAAAAUGAUGUUUGGUGAUAGUCUUAGAGGAGAUCGACUCUGUUUCUUCGUCGUUUGGUGACUUCUGAGAGGGCUCAACCUUUGCUCGGUUUCUGAUUUCAGGCUCCUC